UACAGGGGGUGCAAACGUUGCUCGGAAUUAUUGGGCGUAAAGCGCACGUAGGUGGUUUGUUAUGUCGGAUGUGAAAGCCCUUGGCUCAACUGAGGAAGUGCAUCCGAAACUGGCAAACUAGAGUAUGUAAGAGGGUCGCGGAAUUCCCGGUGUAGAGGUGAAAUUCGUAGAUAUCGGGAGGAACACCGGUGGCGAAGGCGGCGACCUGGGACAAUACUGACGCUGAGGUGCGAAAGCGUGGGGAGCAAACAGG
rnacentral:rRNA from 1 species